ACUCAAAUGAAUAGACGGGGGCCCGCACAAGCGGUGGAGCAUGUGGUUUAAUUCGACGCAACGCGCAGAACCUUACCAGCCCUUGACAUGCCUGUCAUAUCCCCAAGAGAUUGGGGAGUCGGUUCGGCCGGACAGUGCACAGUUGCUGCAUGGCUGUCGUCAGCUCGUGUCGUGAGAUGUUGGGUUAAGUCCCGCAACGAGCGCAACCCUCCUCCUUAGUUGCUACCAUUUAGUUGGGCACUCUAGGGAUACUGCCGGUGAUAAGCCGGAGGAAGGCGGGGAUGACGUCAAGUCCUCAUGGCACUUACGGGCUGGGCUACACACGUGCUACAAUGGUGGUGACAGUGAGACGCGAACCCGCGAGGGGAAGCAAAUCUCCAAAAGCCAUCUCAGUUCAGAUUGCAGGCUGCAACUCGCCUGCAUGAAGUUGGAAUCGCUAGUAAUCGUGGAUCAGCAUGCCACGGUGAAUACGUUCCCGGGCCUUGUACACACCGCCCGU
rnacentral:rRNA from 1 species